CUGGGAAGAGCCUUCUUGGUCACCGGAGGGAACAGCGGCAUUGGAAAAGCAGCCGCCAUGGAGAUAGCCAGGCGAGGUGGCACAGUUCAUCUGGUUUGUCAAGAUCAAAACUGAGCGGAAGAUGCCAGAGGUGAGAUCGUCAGGAAGAGCGGGAACCAGGUGAGCUGCUCUC
rnacentral:lncRNA from 1 species